rnacentral:rRNA from 1 species
AUGCACACAGUCGCAUUUAAGGGUUAUGAAAAUCUGGAAGAUGUUGUCGCUCGCCCAACUUCUUCCAAAUCCAUGCUUACCGAGUACUUUGAGAUGAACAAGAAGUAUCCAGCGGCACGAAAAUGGCUGUACAAAGAGUUCCCAGAACAUUAUAGGUGGAUUGCCGCUAAUAAAAAGUGGCAAACGAGAAGAAGUAAGAGAUCACAGAUUGGAAGACUGGUGUAUGCACACCCUGCUGAAGGAGAGAGGUACUACUUGCGGGUGCUCCUAAGUCAUGUCCGAGGUGCCACUUCAUUUGAUGAUUUGAAAACAGUAAAUGGCAAGCCAUGCACUUCCUUCAGAGAGGCAUGUGAGCACUUAGGCCUCAUUGAGCAUGACAGGACACUGGAUGAUUUCAUGACGGAGGCAACAACAUUUCAAAUGCCUUCUGCUCUUAGACGGUUGUUUGCGACUAUACUGGUAUUCUGUGAGGCAACACAAAUCCGUCAAUUGUGGGACAAACAUCUACCAUCGAUGGCUGAAGAUUACCGCCGCACUGAGUCAAAUGAGGCAACACUUGAGCAGAUGGUCCUUAGAGAUGUCAGGGAUCUGGUGCAAUCCAUGGGUAAGGAUAUUAAAAUGUAUGGACUUCCAGAUCUGGUUGACACAGAUGGUUCUUCUGACGCCGAGUAUAGAGAGGUAACGGAGGAGAGACAAGUUAGAGUUGACCAAGAGCAUCUAGAUCUAUUUAGCUGUUUGAACAGUGAACAACUGGAUGGUUUCAACGACAUAAUGGAUCAUGUGACGAACCAAAAAAGCCAAAUAUUUUUUGUUGAUGGUCCAGGAGGCACUGGGAAGACGUACCUGUACAAGGCGUCCUUGAUAAUUUGGGAUGAAGUUGCUAUGACAAAGCGUCAAGCAGUUGAGACGCUUGACAGAUCGCUACAAGAUAUAAUGGAAUGUCCUCUGCCGUUUGGUGGAAAGGUUGUUAUCUUUGGUGGGGAUUUCAGGCAGGUCCUCCCUGUUGUUACACGAGGGACAAGAGCAUAG